CCAGAGUUCCGGCUGGAGUCGGGGGAGGGGAGAGGGACGAGGGGCAGGAGGAGAGGGCGUGGUUUCGGGGGAGGGCGUGGUUUCGGGUGGGGCGAGGUGUCAGGUUUGAGGGUGUGGCUGCUCCUGAAAGACCGCCCCUGUGUCCUGCUACCCCUCUGUCAAGCUGCCGGGCGGCUGCAGCUUCGCGGCACCCAGUCUAGGUUAAAGCAGCCGCCCCGGGCUCGGCUCGGGCUCCUCUGUCCCAGGCUGUGGCCCCGGACGGCCCCGGACUCGUGCUGCCCUUGGCUUCCCGCUCUCAAGUCGAGGGUUUGGAUACCGAGGGGCGAGGAAGGAAGUGACCGAAGACAGGCACCUGUCAAAUCGGUCCUUUCGAGUUGUGGUAGCGGGGCCUGGAUGGCUUGGUGUAGGUGAGGUCUUGAGAGAGUCUCUUGGGACUCGGAAAUCGGACGUCUCCGGGACUGGAGUUCUUGAAUUCAUUAAGCUGAGUCGAGUAGCUGGGGAAAAGAUCCGGUGGACGCCGGCAGGAGAGGGUGUGACAUCUUGGGACCUGUCGGGGCAGGGAAUCUGGUGAAAACUUUCCUUGAUGUGCACCCGCGGCUGCAUCAGCAAUAAAGGUUGCGGACACAACACUAUUAUCACUUGUAAAGUUGGACGAGGGACAGGAAAAUCCAGGGAGUGAUGUCUGCAUUGACGAAAAAUCUGGCCAAGGUGAAGUACUAGCAGUACUGCCUUGCGGACAGGUGCUUCCCUAACCCCCUCCUCAUCCAUUAGAACGUUUUUGUGUUCAUUUCGAAAACUGUUAGGAAGACGCAAUCAGAAGGUUGCUGUGAAACAACGUUAACUUUCUGUUCCUCCCCCUUGUAGUUUUAUGCUAAAGGAGUUCAAGGUCAUCUUUGAAAACUAGGUCACUUGUUUUGAAUAGUUUUAUCUGAAGAAAGGAUUUGGAAACGUUGUCUCUUCCAUCCCCUUUCCUACCCUCACCCCCACUUCUCCUGCCCCCCAGCAAACAGUGGGUUUAGUUUUCUCUCUCCUGAAUUCUCACCUUUUAAAGAUCAGGGAAGAAGAAAACAGCUUCUUUUGGCAUGCAAUUAUUUGUGGUUAAUCCGGUCUUGUGACUUUUGUUCCUUACCUCUCCUUUAGCUCCUUCAAUAUUACUGUGUACCCAUAGUGUUUUCUGUAAAGAAUGCAAAGGGUAAGAGGAGAAAGGGAAACUUUGUCCAUGAAAAGCUCUAGUAAACAUGUUUAUUAUUUUUUAAACCACAAAAAUUGGGGCUAUAUUGAGUUCUAAUAUCCUCACCACUUUGGGGGAAGAUAUUUGUAAAUUAUAAUUAUUUUAUCAAUAAAAUAUCAACUUAAAGUAUAAGUCUCUCUCUGUGUGUAAUAUCUUGCAUUAACAGGUCUAUCCAAUGAAGUGAAUGCUUUAGAAAUCUAAGGUUCUAGUUUAUAGAGGCCAACUGGAAUAGAAGUAUAUAUAAGUUAUUAAAUAACUGUGCAAUCUUGAGAAUAGUGGUAUUAGGAAUAUUUCAAAGUUUAAAGAUUGCUUCAUUCAAAUAUAUCUGUGACCUGACAAUUAUUUUU
ensembl:lncRNA